rnacentral:lncRNA from 12 species
UAUUCAUGGAAAUGGUCACUAAGCAUCAAGAUAAAAUGUGGACAUUGUCUACAUUUUCAAAAAGUGGAAGACCAAAAGGAGGAAAGAUGCUCAAGGUCAUACCAUAGAGAAAAGGCAUGAAGAGGCACUUUACUGUCACUCCUACUGUUGCUGAACCAGACUUGGGAAAUACACUUCACAUUGUGAAUAACUGGAAUCUGUGGGAAUGGCUGCCUAAGCACGAGGUUGAGAUGGCUUCUGGGGCUGAGUACAUGGAAUUGACAAGGAGGAGAAUUAGCACCAUCAGCAGUGCAAGGUCGACAACGAAUUCUCAAGGAAAGACAAAAACUCUAUCAGGGAACACUUCCUACUGUGUAUUCUUUCUUAAGGGCAUCCCGUCUGAAAUGAAAAUUUCAAGGCAUCAGCCAGCUCGGAAGCUAACUAGUAGAUCAAGGAAUACUAAAAUGAUUUAUUACAAGAAACUUGAGUGGCUCCAUGUCUUAGAAGUGCCUUCCACUAAUACUGAACAGCAAUGCCUAACAAAUAUUUAUGAUUGA